rnacentral:ncRNA from 1 species
AAAGACUUAGUCCUAACCUUAUGGUUAAUUUCAGCUAGAUAUACACAUGCAAGUAUCCGCACCCCAGUGUGAAUGCCCCCAUCUCUUCCUAACUCAAGAUAAAGGUGCAGACAUCAGGCACGCUCCAGCAGCCCAAAACGUCUUGCUUAGCCACACCCCCACGGGUACUCAGCAGUGAUUGACAUUAAGCAAUAAGUGAAAGCUUGACUUAGUUAUAGCUCCACAGAGCCGGUAAAUCUUGUGCCAGCCACCGCGGUCAUACAAGAGGCUCAAACUAACCAUUACACGGCGUAAAGAGUGGUAUAAUAUUAUCUGAAUAACUAGGAUCAAAUUGCAACUGAGCUGUCAUAAGCUUAAGAUGCACUUAAGACCGCCCCUCAAAAUGAUCUUAGAACACCAUGAUCUAUCAUCUACCACGAAAGCUAGGACCCAAACUGGGAUUAGAUACCCCACUAUGCCUAGCCCUAAAUCCUGAUGCGCUACACUCACCAAGCCAUUCGCCUGGGUACUACGAGCACAAACGCUUAAAACCCUAAGGACUUGGCGGUGUUCCAAACCCACCUAGAGGAGCCUGUUCUAUAAUCGAUAACCCACGAUAUACCCGACCUCCCCUUGUCACACCAGCCUAAAUACCGCCGUCUCCAGCUCGCCCUUCGCUGAGGGCCCAACAGCGAGCGCAAUAGCCCCACUACUCCGCUAAAAAGACAGGUCAAGGUAUAGCUAAUGGGGUGGAAGUAAUGGGCUACAUUUUCUAAAAUAGAAUACUCCUUAACGAAAAGAGGUGUGAAAUCCACCCCUAGAAGGCGGAUUUAGCAGUAAAAAGAGACAAUAGAGCUCUAUUUAAGCUGGCCCUGGAACACGUACAUACCGCCCGUCACCCUCCUCACAGGCUACAAAUAAAUUAUAGCUAAUGUGUCUAAAAGCCAAAGAUGAGGUAAGUCGUAACAAGGUAAGUGUA